rnacentral:rRNA from 1 species
UACGGAGGAUGCAAGCGUUAUCCGGAUUUAUUGGGUUUAAAGGGUGCGUAGGCGGAUAUGUAAGUCAGCGGUGAAACUCACAGGCUCAACCUGUGCCGUGCCGUUGAAACUGUGUAUCUGGAAUGCGGAUGCUGUGGGAGGAAUGUGUAGUGUAGCGGUGAAAUGCAUAGAUAUUACACAGAACACCGAUUGCGAAUGCAUCUCACAAAGCCGUUAUUGACGCUGAGGCACGAAGGCGUGGGGAU